UGGGGGAUAUUGCACAAUGGGCGAAAGCCUGAUGCAGCAACGCCGCGUGAGGGAAGACGGUUUUCGGAUUGUAAACCUUUGUCUUCGGUGACGAAAUAAAUGACGGUAGCCGGGGAGGAAGCCACGGCUAACUACGUGCCAGCAGCCGCGGUAAUACGUAGGUGGCGAGCGUUGUCCGGAAUUACUGGGUGUAAAGGGAGCGCAGGCGGGGAGACAAGUCAGCUGUGAAAACUACCGGCUUAACCGAUAGAUUGCAGUUGAAACUGUUUUUCUUGAGUGGAGUAGAGGCAGGCGGAAUUCCGAGUGUAGCGGUGAAAUGCGUAGAUAUUCGGAGGAACACCGGUGGCGAAGGCGGCCUGCUGGGCUCUAACUGACGCUGAGGCUCGAAAGUGUGGGGAGCAAACAGG
rnacentral:rRNA from 1 species